rnacentral:sRNA from 23 species
GUUUAUCGAAUUUUAAAACAAUUCAAACUAUUGAAACAAAUUAUAACCAUUCAAGAAAAGAGGAGUAUAAUAAUGACUAAUCACACAUUUCUAUAUCAACCGACAAAUGUAAAUAUUAUUAUUUUAUUAUACUCCAAAGGGCUGGAACUUUAGUAUCACUUGUACUAAAUGUUUAAGUCCUAUUUCUAAUUGAAUGGGACUUAUCAG